CGUCGUCACCCAUCUGCGUGACGUUCAUUGAACACAGAGUGAUACAGACAUUGUUGAGUCAGCCAAUAACUUUCUGGGGGCAUAAGAAGGACCGCUGGAGCUGGAACAAACAGAGAUUGGAUUAUUUUAAAGUUACAUGAUGCUGUUUCAAGUCAGACGAUAAAAUAUAGAAACAUUCUAUUUUCAUCUGUCGUUGCUUGACUGAGUCAUGCUUUUCGAAAAAACAUCUAGUCACACUAAAGGUAAAAAAAAAAAGACUUCAACAAUUUUAAUUUGUACUGUGCCCUGUAAUUUAGGGGUAAAAGAAUCAAAGGUGCGAGCAGUACAAAAUGACUUCAUCAUCAUCAUCAGCCGUGACAUUUAGAUCAGACCAGACUGAGCAACACAACGUUUGAGCCUUCGAGAAGUUACGACUCAACACUGAUACACACAUACUGCACACAAGCACAAAAUGGACCGCAACACAGAAAGUUCACACACACACACAGCGACACGCAACCACUGUGGCAAAGAUGAGGGAAAGUGAGAAUAAGUUCCCAGAACUGUUCUUCACUCUGCUUCUUUUCAAUCCCAGUAUCAUGCAAGAUGAAAUGACUGAAUGUGUUCCUGCCAUGUAACAAUUGUGAAGCAAUGUGACAUAAUAGCUCGACAAACGUCCUGUAACUUGUCAUGUGACACAUCUACAAUGCAGGAGGGACUGAACAUUCAUUUAUACUUGAUGCUGUCCCCAGUCAGACAAGUCCUGGAGAAAUAUCCAAAGUGAAAACAGCCAAAUGCAGGAGCAGUACGGUGCGACAUGUUCGUUUUGUAGUCUGCAUUUUGUGUUGAGCAUUUUUCAAAAAGUAACUUGUGACUAUUCCAAACCAGGCAACUAGUGUAGAAAAAAUGGAAUGUUUUUAAAAGUUGCACCAAAGGAUACAACUAAAUAUCCCAGUUGUUAGGUAUUAUCAGGAUGAAUCAACCAGUUAUGCACGCAUGACGCAAUUACUCCAGCAUCACAUGUGGUGUUUAGAUCAGAUCCACAGACUAACCUGCUUCUAGCUGAGCUGAAACGAUGAAUGUAUGAAUUGAGAAUUAUAAAAAAAAGUAACCCGAGUCAAAAUAGAAAUGUGUGUCGUCGGGUUUAGGUUUUCAAGGUUUUGUGUACAAGGCAAUUGGCUAUAACAUCAGCCGUCCCUAGUUCCAAGCACACUACCUCCCUCUGCCUCUCUGGUAAAGGGCCCCUCGGGUGGUCAACUCAGUCAGCCUCUUGUUGCAGACACGGUUCUAAGACUAUAAUAAGCAUAUCAACUAUACCUUAUUAUAUUAGUGAGUAGUGUCGGCGCUUCACUGAGCGGGUUAUUUAAUUCGCCCGACCUGUUAAGAAACAGGUUCUUGACCUUACAAUGCUACACCUCUUACCGUAGUCUCUUUACUUAGCUUCGUUUAGGGACUCAUGAUCGGAUCCUGAAUCCAUUCCUUUCAAAUAACAUUUUCCCCAUAAAUGCCUAAAACUACCACCUAAUCAUUGACACAAUAAUUCAGGAUGGAAUAAUGCUGCCAUGUGAGACACUCAUUAAAUGUGCAACAGGAGGAAAUCAAACAAUAACUCACCUAUAACCCAAUUGAUGGUAGUAGGUAGGAGCCAGUUGAUUCUUUAGUAGUCAGGGAUCCACGCCGUUGUGCCUUUUCAGUACUUAAUUCGUACUCAAUUUUAUUUUGUUUUUUGUCACAAAAAUGUUUCUUCAAAAAAUUAAUAAAAGAAUAGUAAAAACAGCAAAGUCAACCAAAAACAAUAAAAUCCAUAAACUCAAGGGUAUUGCCAGACGCUGAUACCCAACAAUAUCAAAAGUACCGCCAGACGCUGGUACUAGUACAUAUACUUCAAAAACCAUAUAAUCAAAAAUACUUCAAAAACCGUAUAAUUAAAAAUACUUCAAAACCAUAUAAUCAAAAUUACUUCAAUAACCAUAUAAUCAAAAACACUUCAAAAGCCGUAUAAUUAAAAAUACUUCAAAACCAUAUAGUCAAAAAUACUUCAAAGACCGUAUAAUUAAAAAUAUUUCAAAACCAUAUAAUCAAAAAUACUUCAAUAAAAAGGAUUAAUUCAAAAAUAGUAAAAGAGAAAUAAAAGAUGAGUUGAAAUCAAAUGGUCCGAGAGCAAACAGCAAGAGCACCGUCCCAAGAUAAGAUAAAAACUUACAGCGGACAGACGCGGGCGAAGAUCCAAAAAGAGCAAGAAGUCAGGGUCACAUCUCCGAGCGCUUAUAUAGCCACACACGGCUUUGAAGACAUACCGACAUCCGUUUUCUCACGCCAAGCCAAUUAGUCAUAUCUAUAACUUAUCUUGUUUUUCUCCAGAUGGCCUUUUGAAGUUCCUCCCUCAAAAGGAUACAUGUUCGGUGAUAGAUCAUAUUAGUGUCAAUUGCGUCAGCACUUACAUCAUUUUUUAUACGUCACUGAUGCCUGGUUCACCAUAUUAGGUCAGUACAUCUACUCCAUCUUUGCCAGCACGUGCGCACAAGUUCAAACUAAGUUCAAGAUGGCCACUUUCUCAUGACUUCAAAUGAGCGCGCCUACAAGGUCAUUCUCAGAUCCAAGCACACAGCUGUUCGUGAGUUCAAACGCGCACGAUCAAACGCAUACAGGUUCACUAAAGUUCGAAACAUCAAACAAUUAAUGAUAAAAAAUCAGAAACAAUAUCAAAUAUUAUUUAGCAGGUCCAUUAAUGAUAAAAACAGAAACAAUGUCAAAUAUUAUUUAGCAGGUUUUGAUUAUAAUAUUUUCGAACUUCCAGUGUAUACAACAAUGUGUUGAAAUUAAAUCUUUCCAUUUUGAAAAAACUGUGUUUGUAUUGUUCAUUUUCACAAAAUGUUAAUGCUGAAGUAAAGCUUGUGAACAAAUUCAGAUAUUGUAUUUUCAUAUUUCUUCACAAGUUACAGGUGUAUUCUCAGUUAUUAUUUAUCAACUGUGUUUCAAAACAAACAACUGGCAAUCAUUAAACUGGUUGACAUUGUGGGUUCGUGAACCUGUUUUGGUCUGGUCUGUUUUGUCUGUGUUCGCAAGUUACCAUAACAGAAUAGUUUUGGUAGGCGAGCUGUUCAUGUUAUAAAAGCUAAUCGCAGCACUGAAGCCUGUCAGUACAUUUGU